rnacentral:lncRNA from 1 species
GUUAAAACAAGUUGAAAGGAGAAUACAAAGAAUAGGCUCAUACAUAGGCAGUCAAGACAGCUGAAAUGAAUUUACUAAUAGAAGCAAACUGAUCCAAGAACCUCAGGAUAAUAACAUGUAAUGUUUGGAAUCAUCUCCUCUAUGUGGGAGGAAAUCAGUCACACUCCAAGAAACAAAGCUCAUUUACAUCUCUAUGAAUAAGACCAUUUGCAUUACCUUGAAACAGAAACACCUUCAUCACCAUCAGCUCUACAAGGUCAGAAAACGAACUACAUCAUGGACAGCUGUCUCCUUUGGGGAGGGGGAAGAAAACAAGGUUGGUAUCCUUCUCCCUGGCUCUGCCGCGCAGUUUUCACAGUCCUGCUCUCUCACCCCACUUUCUGAAGAAAUAAGUGGGUCAGCUUUUCAGAGGCUACGACGCAGUCAAGUUGACCCGCAGAAUCUGUUCGAUUAGGUCAACCUGAAACUGAAGAGACAGAUGAAAUGAUUUGGAACCAAGUAUCAUUUCAGCUCUGGAGCAUAUUGACAUCUGUUACAACAUCUUAUUAAACAUCAAACUCCACAUGGCACACGAAGGAACGCAAGGAAAGAAAAGGACUACAAAGUGAAAAACCUUUUGGAUUUUGUCACAAGUGGAUAACAUUUAAAACAAACCAGCUGAUGUCAUGUUUGUAUACAGAGAAAAUAAAGAUAUCAAAAUGUAGCAGACAAUCUAAUACCUUAUUUGGCAAUUUUUUUCAAAAGUCGCUCUCAUUCUUAAUUGUCAGGUAUGUAGUCCUGUUUUUAGCACAUACAGUUGGUCUGCCUCCUAUAGGAAAUGAC